GUGAACGCUGGCGGUAGGCCUAGCACAUGCAAGUCGCACGGCAGCACAGUAAGAGCUUGCUCUUACGGGUGGCGAGUGGCGGACGGGUGAGGAAUACAUCGGAAUCUACUUUUUCGUGGGGGAUAACGUAGGGAAACUUACGCUAAUACCGCAUACGACCUACGGGUGAAAGCAGGGGAUCUUCGGACCUUGCGCGAUUGAAUGAGCCGAUGUCGGAUUAGCUAGUUGGCGGGGUAAAGGCCCACCAAGGCGACGAUCCGUAGCUGGUCUGAGAGGAUGAUCAGCCACACUGGAACUGAGACACGGUCCAGACUCCUACGGGAGGCAGCAGUGGGGAAUAUUGGACAAUGGGCGCAAGCCUGAUCCAGCCAUACCGCGUGGGUGAAGAAGGCCUUCGGGUUGUAAAGCCCUUUUGUUGGGAAAGAAAAGCAGCAGGUUAAUACCCCGCUGUUCUGACGGUACCCAAAGAAUAAGCACCGGCUAACUUCGUG
rnacentral:rRNA from 1 species